AAAUGCCUGCUUGUUUUUGGUCGGAUUAUUAAGCUUAUUGUUUUUUCUAUAUUUUCCGUUGUUUUAUUUAUUGAAAACAAAAAAUAAAAAUUUAAUAUGAAAACCUCUUUUGAAAAAGGAAACAUUUUAAAAAUAGAACAAAAAUUCAACAUGGUUGUCCAUAUAGUAUGAAACCAUUUUAAAUUGUCUCUUUAGUAUAAUAUUUUUCAUAAUCCUAAAACUAACCCUUGUUGAAAAAUAUUAUACUAUAUGUACAACCAUUAGUUUUUAUAAAAAAUUAAAAUUAACAAAAAGUUUUUAAUAAAAACGUUAAAUAAACUUUAUAAAUACGUUUUACAAAGUUUUAUUUUUUAUAAAAAGUUUAAAACUUUGUAAUCUUAUAGUUUUAUUAAAACUUUUAAUAAAAAUAAAAAUAGAACAAGAAUUUGUGAAAAUUACAAGAUAAACUAUGGAGACAUCCUAGAUUGAUAAAGAAGAAAACACAGAAAAUAAUAUUUUUUGAUUUUUUUUUUUUUGCAAAAAAGCGAUCAAAACACGUUUUAGGAAAUUAUAAUAUUUUACGUAACUGAAAUUUCCUUAAUUUUUGCAAUAAACAUAUUUUCUUACGUAGAUGACACAUUCUACUUUUUCAGAACAACGACAAAAAUCUUGAAUGCAAUUUAUACCUUAUGUAGACAUAUGAGUGAAUUCUAGAUUUUGCAUUCCCGAAACUUUAGAAUACUUCAUAAAAAUAGAAUCUACACUCCAUAGAAAAGUGGCUAUCUUUAUGAAUAGUAGAAUUUACAUUCUCUUUAUUUAAAAUUUUAAUAAAAACUAGAUUGUUCGUUCAAAAAAAGUAGAUGAGCAUGUUGAAUCUAAAAUUUGUUUUCUACUAACUCAUUUUUCUAUACUUUUAGUAGAACGUAAUUUAAAAUUUUUAUUUAUUAAAUUUUUCAACAAAAAAAAUAUCAGUUUGUGUAUAUGAGUGUUUUAUUAAUUGUUUAUAUUUUUAUAAUUUUUUUGAUUCACAAAACUAUUUAUUUCAUUAAUUUUUAGAAAUAUAAAAGGUAAAAGAGAGAUAAAAUAGACAAAAUUGAUUUUAUACUAUGUUCCGUUUCGAUAAUUUUCCCUUUUAAAAACAUGGUUUUUUCUCAAUGAUUUCUUUUUACUCAUUAAAACGUGUAUUCAUGGUGGAGUCAGAAGAAAGUGUAUUCAUGGCUCCAUGAUAUAAGGUUAGGUGACAAGUCCAAUAAUUGCACUUAAAAGUAUCGACUUUUCCGCAUCGAGUUAAAGUCUAUAAAACGGGACCCUUGUUAGAGCAUGCCCAUUGGGGGCUUUUAAAGGGUUCAUGGGUUCGGGUUCAUAGAGCCGGACAAGGAAAAAUAAAUCGAAAAUGAGCUAAUUUCGGUGACCCGAGUCUUACGCAUGAUCCGUUCUUAGCCGGGUUCAAGACACGUGUUGGGUUUGUUUCUCUGAAAGGCGAUUGAGAGGCGAUUCAGGUGCGACGGCGAUUUCCGAAGCUUUUGACCAUCAAAUCGACGACGAACGGUCCCCUCCACGAGCUCAGAGAUGGAUCCCGCAGCAGAGAGAAGAGACAUGAAGAGGAACAUUGAGUACAACAACAGCUUGAUGUAUGUUGCUGAUUCAGAGUACGGGAUACCAACAAGGUGUUACUGUGGUGGGAGAAUGAUUGACGAGGUUCAGGCGAAGGAGGAGAAAGACCCUACCCAUCUAACUGCAAGCGAAAUCACCCUCAUGGACAAACUCAUUUCUGAUAUGAUUUGAGAUGGGUCACGGGCUGGAGUUCAAGUUGUAUGGCAGGAAGGAAAUGCACAUGUUUAUUAGCUUUAUGGUUGUUGUGUUUCACGGGAAAGUGUAGUAUUUUGUUUCUUUCUACACUUCAUUUCAAUUAACUUGUCUUGUUUGGUUUCUUUCUACUUUGUACUUGUUUGGUUGCUCACGGGUAGCAACCACAUGUCUUGAACUUGUAUCGGCUAUGUAUUGUCUUCACUCUGCAAACUCUAUAUAUAAAGCAGGGUGUUUGUUUCAUAAAUUUGCUCACUCUUGUAUCAGUCUCUUCUUUACUGUAUCACUCUUGUAUCAGUCUCUUCUUCACUCUAUCAUUCUUCUCUCAAAGUAUCAAGAGAACUAUCACUCUUCUCUCUAUCACUCUUCUCUCCAACAACACUAUCAACAACACUCUUCUCUCUAUCACUCUUCUCUCCAACAACACUAUCAACAACACUCUUCUCUCUAUCACUCUUCUCUCCAACAACACAAUCAACAACACUCUUAUCUCCAAGUAUCAAGAGAACUAUCAAGACAAAUAUACUCUCCAAUGCAAA